AAUAACAAGUCUCUCCCUUUCCUUUACUGCUUCUUCUAUAGCUAUAAUCCUCAUUUGCAAAUCCUGCAAGUCCAAAAGUCCACCUGGACCCAUGGCAGUUUGGUCAUCACUAAUCUGUUGACAGCUUUCAGUAUGCACCACAAAUGUGGCAUCCUUUGCUUCCUUAUUGUAAAUUCCACGGAGCGUUGCGUGUGAGAGAGUAUGAUUCUCCAGAGACGCUACACAAUCCCUCAAAGAAGUGAAAGCUGGUACAUGUGAAGUCAUCUGAGACUUUAGUUCUUCAUUUUCAAGUUCCAAGGUGCUAACUCUUUCUUUCAUCUGGUCAAUCUCCCUAUCAUUCAAACGAUUUCUUCCUUCAAGGCUCUCAGAUGCUUCAAUGAGCUCAUGAACCUUUCCUUCAAACAGUGCUUGUUGGACAGCAGAUAUCUGCAGUUUGCCAAAAAGUGCCGAACCCUGAGAUUCCCACCAUUCAAUCUCUAUUCUUCCUUUUUGCAGUUCACAAUUCAAACUUUCCU
rnacentral:misc_RNA from 1 species